rnacentral:rRNA from 1 species
AAAUAGUCUGGCCUGCCCACUGAAAUGUUUUUAAAGGGCUGCGGUAUUUUGACCGUGCAAAGGUAGCAUAAUCAUUAGUUUCUUAAUUGGGAACUGGAAUGAAUGGUUGGACAAGAAGAAGACUGUCUCAAAUGUAAAAUUUGAAUUUUACUUUUAAGUGAAAAGGCUUAAAUAAAAUAAGGGGACGAUAAGACCCUAUAAAACUUGUUAUACAAUUAGUUUAUUACCUCUCUAAUUAGAUUAGUUUAACGAGGGGGAUAAACAAUGUUGUUUUACUGGGGCGGUAUUUAUAAAAAUAAAAUAACUGUAAAAAUUUGUAUAAAUAGUUAUAAUUAGACAACAGGAUCCCUUUUUAGGGAUCAAGAGAUUAAGUUACUUUAGGGAUAACAGCGUUAUUUCUCUUGAGAGUCCAAAUCGACAGAGUAAGUUGCGACCUCGAUGUUGAAUCAAGAUGUUAUUCAGGUGCAGGAGCCUGAAUUGUAGGUCUGUUCGACCUU